UGUCUUUUUUUAGAAAAGACCAUAAGUGUCUUAUCUUACUCCUUUGGAAUUUCCCAUAGAUAUUUAACCUCUAGUUUGGGGAAAGCUGGUUGGAGGGUUCUUCAAAUGGUCCUGAAUGAAUGCUCCCAACAGAUUUGCAAGCUCCAUUCACCGGAGGUGGAUGGGUGCUUCUGCUUGCCAACCACCUCAUCACCACCUCCUCUCCCUCCCAGCUAAAAAACUUGUGGUUAAAAUAACACACAGCCUCUAUUCAGAGCUCAAACUCAGAGCUGCUAUCAGAGGAAGCAGAUUUUGGAUUUAGAAAACCUUCAGUAGAGGCAUCCAAGUUGCUCUUGAAAAAUUCUGUGUCUCAGACUUUCUUGAAGAAACCAAGGACCUCCUCAGUGCUGGGGAUGAAACUCAGGGUCUUGUGCAUGCUAGCACAUAGAAACUGAAGAGGAGGAUGUGGACCAGACAACAGGGAGAGAGGAGCCCUUUGGGGUUAAUUGUCACUGUAGCAAGGCUGGCAACCACGAUCAAGCUCUGCCUUGGUUGUCAUCAUCCUUUUCAAUAUCAGUCACAACAGGGAUGUCAAAAAGUCAUUUCCGCUCUCUCCAUGAGUACCUCCCUCCCCCCACA